CGUGCUAGGAUGAACGCUAGCGACAGGCCUAACACAUGCAAGUCAGGGGCGAGCACAAGGAGCAAUACUGAGGUGGCGACCGGCGGCACGGGUGAGUAACACGUAUGCAACCUGCCUGUAAGCGGGGAAUAACCCGUUGAAAGACGGACUAAUACCGCAUAAUACUAAAUUACUGCAUGGUAAUUAUUUAAACAUUUAUGGCUUACAGAUGGGCAUGCGCAUGAUUUAGCUAGUUGGAGAGGUAACGGCUCCCCAAGGCAACGAUCGAUUAGGGGUUCUGAGAGGAAGGUCCCCCACACUGGUACUGAGACACGGACCAGACUCCUACGGGAGGCAGCAGUGAGGAAUAUUGGUCAAUGGACGAGAGUCUGAACCAGCCAAGUCGCGUGCAGGAAGAAUGUCCCUAUGGAUUGUAAACUGCUUUUGCGAGGGGAAUAAAGUGCAUCACGUGUGAUGUUUUGUAUGUACUCUGCGAAUAAGGAUCGGCUAACUCCGUGCCAGCCGCAGC
rnacentral:rRNA from 1 species